AGCGAACGCUGGCGGCGUGCUUAACACAUGCAAGUCGAGUGCGCGGUUCGUAGCAAUACGAACUGGCGCACGGCGCACGGGUGAGGAACACGUGGGCAACAUGCCCUCCGAUGGGGAAUAACCCGCCGAAAGGCGGGCUAAUACCGCAUACGAUUCCGGGGACCUCGGUUCCUGGACUGAAAGCCCGCAAGGGCGUCGGUGGAGUGGCCCGCGGCCGAUUAGCUUGUUGGCGGGGUAACGGCCCACCAAGGCAAUGAUCGGUAGCCGGUCCUGAGAGGAUGAUCGGCCACACUGGAACUGAGACACGGUCCAGACUCCUACGGGAGGCAGCAGUGGGGAAUCUUGCGCAAUGGGCGAAAGCCU
rnacentral:rRNA from 1 species